CAGGAGGAACACCGAUGGCGAAGGCAGUUCUUUGGGCCAAUACUGACACUGAGGAGCGAAAGCGUGGGGAGCGAACAGGAUUAGAUACCCUGGUAGUCCACGCCGUAAACGGUGGGCGCUAGUUGUGCGAACCUUCCACGGUUUGUGCGACGCAGCUAACGCAUUAAGCGCCCCGCCUGGGGAGUACGAUCGCAAGAUUAAAACUCAAAGGAAUUGACGGGGCCCCGCACAAGCAGCGGAGCAUGCGGCUUAAUUCGACGCAACGCGAAGAACCUUACCAAGGCUUGACAUAUACAGGAAUACGGCAGAGAUGUCGUAGCCGCAAGGUCUGUAUACAGGUGGUGCAUGGUUGUCGUCAGCUCGUGUCGUGAGAUGUUGGGUUAAGUCCCGCAACGAGCGCAACCCUCGUUCUGUGUUGCCAGCAUUUAGUUGGGGACUCACAGGAGACUGCCGGGGUUAACUCGGAGGAAGGUGGGGAUGACGUCAAAUCAUCAUGCCCCUUAUGUCUUGGGCUGCACGCAUGCUACAAUGGCUGGUACAAACGGCUGCAAUACCGCAAGGUGGAGCGAAUCCGAGAAAGCCAGUCUCAGUUCGGAUUGGGGUCUGCAACUCGACCCCAUGAAGUCGGAGUUGCUAGUAAUCGUAGAUCAGCAACGCUACGGUGAAUACGUUCCCGGGGCUUGUACACACCGCCCGUCACAUCACGAAAGUCGGUAACACCCAAAGUCAGUGGCCCAACCG
rnacentral:rRNA from 1 species